rnacentral:rRNA from 1 species
UACGUAGGGUGCGAGCGUUGUCCGGAAUUAUUGGGCGUAAAGGGCUCGUAGGCGGUUUGUCGCGUCGGGUGUGAAAACACCGGGCUUAACUCGGUGCUUGCUUUCGAUACGGGCAGACUAGAGGUAUGCAGGGGAGAACGGAAUUCCUGGUGUAGCGGUGAAAUGCGCAGAUAUCAGGAGGAACACCGGUGGCGAAGGCGGGUCUCUGGGCCGAUACUGACGCUGAGGAGCGAAAGCGUGGGGAGCGAACAGG